UACGUAGGGUGCGAGCGUUAAUCGGAAUUACUGGCGUAAAGCGUGCGCAGGCGGCUUUGCAAGACAGAUGUGAAAUCCCCGGGCUCAACCUGGGAACUGCAUUUGUGACUGCAUGGCUAGAGUACGGUAGAGGGGGAUGGAAUUCCGCGUGUAGCAGUGAAAUGCGUAGAUAUGCGGAGGAACACCGAUGGCGAAGGCAAUCCCCUGGGCCUGUACUGACGCUCAUGCACGAAAGCGUGGGGAGCAAACAGG
rnacentral:rRNA from 1 species